AACGCGAAGAACCUUACCUGGGCUUGAACUGCACUGGACAAACGUAGAAAUACGUCUCUCGCAAGAGCCGGUGUAGAGGUGCUGCAUGGCUGUCGUCAGCUCGUGCCGUGAGAUGUUGGGUUAAGUCCCGCAACGAGCGCAACCCCCAUCUUCAGUUGCCAGCGGUUCGGCCGGGCACUCUGAAGAAACUGCCGGUGACAAGCCGGAGGAAGGCGGGGAUGACGUCAAGUCCUCAUGGCCCUUAUGGGCUGGGCUACACACGUGCUACAAUGGCGGUGACAGAGGGAGGCAAGUCAGCGAUGGUGAGCCAAUCUCGAAAAGCCGUCUCAGUUCGGAUUGCUCUCUGCAACUCGAGAGCAUGAAGUCGGAAUCGCUAGUAAUCGCGGAUCAGCAUGCCGCGGUGAAUACGUUCCCGGGCCUUGUACACACCGGAGUA
rnacentral:rRNA from 1 species